rnacentral:rRNA from 1 species
AUUGAACGCUAGCGGCAUGCUUUACACAUGCAAGUCGAACGAGCGGCGGACGGGUGAGUAAUAUCUCGGAAUCUGCCUGUUGGAGGGGGAUAACUACUCGAAACAGUUGCUAAUAACGCAUACUAUCGUAUCUGCCGAUAUCGGAUUAGCUAGUUGGUGGGGUAAAGGCUCACCAAGGCAACGAUCCGUAGCUGGUCUGAGAGGACGACCAGCCACACUGGGACUGAGACACGGCCCAGACUCCUACGGGAGGCAGCAGUGGGGAAUUUUGGACAAUGGGGGAAACCCUGAUCCAGCCAUCCCGCGUGUAUGAGAAGGCCUUCGGGUUGUAAAGUACUUUUGGCAGAGAAGCGGUAUCUGCAGAAUAAGCACCGGCUAACUACGUGCCAGCCGCCGCGGUAAUUC